rnacentral:rRNA from 1 species
CUACGGGACGCUGCAGUAGGGAAUAUUGGACAAUGGGCGAAAGCCUGAUCCAGCAACACCGCGCGCACGAUGACGGCCUUCGGGUUGUAAAGUGUUUUUAGAGGAGAUGAGAAAGGACAGUAUCCUCUGAAUAAGCCUCGGCGAACUACGUGCCAGCAGCCGCGGUAAAACGUAGGAGGCAAGCGUUAUCCGGAUUUAUUGGGCGUAAAGCGCGUGCAGGCGGUCUAGCAAGUUGGAUGUGAAAGCUCCCGGCUCAACUGGGAGAGGUCGUUCAAUACUGUUAGACUAGAGAAUAGAGAGGGAGGUGGAAUUCCGGGUGUAGUGGUGAAAUGCGUAGAUAUCCGGAGGAACACCAGUGGCGAAAGCGGCCUCCUGGACUAUUUCUGACGCUAAGACGCGAAAGCUAGGGUAGCAAACGGGAUUAGAUACCCCCGUAGUC